GACGAACGCUGGCGGCGUGCUUAACACAUGCAAGUCGAACGGAAAGGCCCUGCUUUUGUGGGGUGCUCGAGCGGCGAACGGGUGAGUAACACGUGAGUAGCCUGCCCUUGACUUUGGGAUAACUUCAGGAAACUGGGGCUAAUACCGGAUAGGAGCUCCUGCUGCAUGGUGGGGGUUGGAAAGUUUCGGCGGUUGGGGAUGGACUCGCGGCUUAUCAGCUUGUUGGUGGGGUAGUGGCUUACCAAGGCUUUGACGGGUAGCCGGCCUGAGAGGGUGACCGGCCACAUUGGGACUGAGUUACGGCCCAGACUCCUACGGGAGGCAGCAGUGGGGAAUAUUGCACAAUGGGCGGAAGCCUGAUGCAGCAACGCCGCGUGCGGGAUGACGGCCUUCGGGUUGUAAACCGCUUUCGCCUGUGACGAAGCGUGAGUGACGGUAAUGGGUAAAGAAGCACCGGCUAACUACGUG
rnacentral:rRNA from 1 species